ACGUAGGUGUCAAGCGUUGUUCGGAUUUAUUGGGCGUAAAGGGUCCGCAGGGGGUUGGACAAGUCUGAUGUGAAAUCCCAGAGCUCAACUCUGGAACUGCAUUGGAAACUGUCUGACUAGAGUAUCGGAGAGGAGAUUGGAAUUCCAGGUGUAGCGAUAAAAUGCGUAGAUAUCUGGAAGAACACCGAAAGCGUAGGCAGAUCUCUGGACGAUUACUGACCCUCAGGGACGAAAGCAUGGGGAGCAAACAG
rnacentral:rRNA from 1 species